ensembl:lncRNA
CAGACACAGGCUGUCUGCCAGCCUGGAUUUUUCUAGCUCAUAGCUUCGCCCUGCUAGGAAGCGUGUGUUCUUGUACAAAGGCCGUUCAGCGUCGGGAUUUACACUCGGCUCGACACGGAUAUGUGAAGAAUGAAGGGACCCUGCAGCGAAACGGAGAGCCAACCUCUGACUGAGUGCCUGUCAACACAGUCUGACCACCUGUUGAAGGGCUGUUUGAUGACGAUUUGGACUCCUCUGGGAGAUGAGGACACACCCACAUCUGUUCCAUACUGCAGCCAUGGAUGGUGUUACAGCUCUGAGUCAGCUUUGGGCCAUCAGACGCACACACUGGAAAACCAGCGCCUAUACUUCAUGCAGGAGAGACGGCCUCAGUGAUAAUUAAUAUUUUGCCGCGGCAGGGAAUUAAAAGGAACGGACUUCAGCGUGAACGACCAGUUCCCCAAAGAGAUCCUGGAACGACGCAGGGUUCUCUUCCCAAUCCGACGCGGCUUCAUCCAGAAGGGCUCCCGCGCUGUCAUCGCUGUGGACCGGCUGUACGUGGACGGACAGCUCCACCGCGACCCCGACAUCACUCCGUGGCUGUAUUAACUUCACACCAGAUAAGAAUCCGCUACACCCUUUCCCCAUCCACUCACACUAACUUGCAUUAACAUCUGUUUAACUUACCAAUAUCAAAUCGCAUCUUAGGUGUGAUAUCAUAGCAGAAGUAACACGUCACUCUCCGUCAAUGGUUUGAUUGGAAUGUUUCCAGGUUUUUUUUUUUCUCGUUUUUUUCCCUCUCUUUUUCCCCUCUUGUUUUUAUGCUGUUAAUUGUCCUUGGUUUCUUUCUUUUUUCUUUCUUUCACUGCUUCGAUCACCUGCUUCCACACUCAUCCACAAACAACAUCCUUUAUUUCGAUACAUACGCACAGCACGAUCACGCACAGUCAUGCGCUCAACGGCAGCACAUUUACAUCAGUCAGACAGCGCACACAGACCUACAGGAUACACACACUUAAGCCAAGCAUACUCAUAUUAGUAAAUAUGCAAACACAUAGUCAGAUUCAAGGAGCAUCUCAUCACACAUUUUUUCUCUCUCUCCUUCUCUGUAUUUAUGAACAAGUGAUGUACUCUCUCCACCUGUCUAAGCAACACACACAGCGCACACCCCUAGUUAUACACAGACAUCUAUGGGUGCACUAAGAUUCAUUACAUGGAAUGUAAAUGGAGCUGGCUCCAG